CUCUAUUGGAGUAGCUCACUCUAGAGACUUUCUUGAACAACACACAGACUCUGGGAAAGGCUGACUUCAGGUUGUACAUAUUUUAACUUGAGAACAAUUCCAAAUAACACUUGCCUUACAUAUGGGUGACAAAUAGAUUCAAGGGAUUAGAUCUGAUAGACAGAGUGCCUGAAGAACUAUGGACAGAGGUUCAUGACAUUGUUCUGGAGCCAGGGAUCAAGGCCAUCCCCAAGAAAAAGAAAUGCAAAAAGGCAAAAUGGCUGUCUGAGGAGGCCUUACAAAUAGCUGAGGAAAGAAGAGAAGCUAAAGGCAAGGGAGAAAAGGAAAGAUACACCCAUUUGAAUGCAGAGGUCCAAAGAAUAGCAAAGAGAAGUAAAAAAGCCUUCCUCAGUGAUCAAUGCAAAGAAAUAGAGGAAAACAACAAAAUGGGGAAAACUAGAGAUCUCUUCAAGAAAAUUAGAGAUACCAAGGGAACAUUUCAUGCAAAGAUGGGC
rnacentral:lncRNA from 1 species